UACGUAGGGGGCAAGCGUUGUCCGGAUUUAUUGGGCGUAAAAGGCUUGUAGGUGGCCACGCCAAGUCGGAUGUGAAAUCUCCCGGCUCAACUGGGAGGGGUCAUUCGAUACUGGCGGGCUCGAGGCCGGUAGGGGGAAGUGGAAUUCCACGUGUAGCGGUGAAAUGCGUAGAGAUGUGGAGGAACACCAGUGGCGAAGGCGGCUUUCUGGUCUGUAACUGACGCUGAGGCGCGAAAGCGUGGGGAGCAAACAGG
rnacentral:rRNA from 1 species